CAAUAGUCCCGAUAGAAACGGUAUCCUUUUUUUGCUUUUUCUACAAAAAAAGAUAUAUAGUCCCGAUAGCUAUCGGGACGGGAC
rnacentral:sRNA from 1 species